rnacentral:rRNA from 1 species
GUAGUCAUAUGCUUGUCUCAAAGAUUAAGCCAUGCAUGUCUAAGUAUAAGCAAUUUAUACAGUGAAACUGCGAAUGGCUCGUUAAAUCAGUUAUCGUUUAUUUGAUAGUACCUUUACUACUUGGAUAACCGUGGUAAUUCUAGAGCUAAUACAUGCUAAAAAUCCCGACUGUUUGGAAGGGAUGUAUUUAUUAGAUAAAAAAUCAAUGCUUUUCGGAGCUCUUUGAUGAUUCAUAAUAACUUUUCGAAUCGCAUGGCCUUGUGCUGGCGAUGGUUCAUUCAAAUUUCUGCCCUAUCAACUUUCGAUGGUAGGAUAGUGGCCUACCAUGGUGGCAACGGGUAACGGGGAAU